rnacentral:sRNA from 1 species
AACCACCUGCUUUGCAGGUGGUUCCAAAAAGCUUUAGCUAUGAGAAAAAUCUACCUCCAUGUGGCAAAAUGGUACAGGUUCGCCAACCGUACCGUAACAAAAGGAGGUAG